rnacentral:rRNA from 1 species
AGUGAACGCUGGCGGUAGGCCUAACACAUGCAAGUCGAGCGGCAGCACAGUAAGAGCUUGCUCUUACCGGUGGCGAGUGGCGGACGGGUGAGGAAUACAUCGGACUCUACUUUUUCGUGGGGGAUAACGUAGGGAAAGUUACGCUAAUACCGUAUACGACCUACGGGUGAAAGCAGGAGAUCAUCGGACCUUGCGCGAUUGAAUGAGCAGAUGUCGGAUUAGCUAGUUGGCGGGGUAAAGGCCCACCAAGGCGACGAUCCGUAGCUGGUCUGAGAGGAUGAUCAGCCACACUGGAACUGAGACACGGUCCAGACUCCUACGGGAGGCAGCAGUGGGGAAUAUUGGACAAUGGGCGCAAGCCUGAUCCAGCCAUGCCGCGUGGAUGAAGAAGGCCUUCGGGUUGUAAAGCCCUUUUGUUGGGGAAGAAAAGCAGCAGGUUAAUACCCCGCUGUUCUGACGUUACCCAAAGAAUAAGCACCGGCUAACUUCGUG